rnacentral:rRNA from 1 species
GACGAACGCUGGCGGCGUGCUUAACACAUGCAAGUCGAACGGUAAGGCCCUUCGGGGUACACGAGUGGCGAACGGGUGAGUAACACGUGGGUGAUCUGCCCUGCACUUCGGGAUAAGCCUGGGGAACUGGGUCUAAUACCGGAUAGGACCACUGCCUGCAUGGGUGGUGGUGGAAAGCUUUUGCGGUGUGGGAUGGGCCCGCGGCCUAUCAGCUUGUUGGUGGGGUGAUGGCCUACCAAGGCGACGACGGGUAGCCGGCCUGGGAGGGUGACCGGCCAGACUGGGACUGGGUUACGGCCCAGACUCCUACGGGGGGCAGCAGUGGGGAAUAUUGCACAAUGGGCGCAAGCCUGAUGCAGCGACGCCGCGUGAGGGAUGACGGCCUUCGGGUUGUAAACCUCUUUCAGCACCGACGAAGCGCAAGUGACGGUAGGUGCAGAAGAAGGACCGGCCAACUACGUGCCAGCAGCCGCCGUAA